GGGUCAAUAGUCUAGUGGUUAUGACGCCGCCCUUACAAGGCGGAGGUCGCCAGUUCAAAUCUGGCUUGACCCA
rnacentral:tRNA from 1 species